rnacentral:rRNA from 1 species
AUGGCGUUCCUGCAGAAGGUCGGGAAUGCCCUCAAGCGGUCCGCGGGCUCCGGCUCGGCGAUGCUCCAGGCGGUCCGGUCCAUGUCCUCCUCCAAGGUCUUCGUCGGAGGCAUCUCGUACGGCACCGAUGACCAGAGCCUCGCGGAUGCGUUUUCCAACUACGGCCAAGUCGUGGAAUCCAAGGUGAUCAUGGACCGUGAAUCUGGGAGGUCAAGGGGGUUUGGUUUCGUGACCUACACUUCGGCGGAGGAGGCUGGAGCUGCCAUCACCGGAAUGGAUGGGAAGGAUCUGCAGGGUCGGAUAGUGAGGGUGAGCUAUGCUCAUGACCGUGGUAGUCGUCCAAGUUUUGGCGGUGGUGGCGGCUAUGGCGGCGGUGGUGGCGGCUAUGGCGGCGGUGACGGUGGUUACGGUGGAGCUGGUGGUGCCUAUGGUGGUGGUGGAGGCUACAGCGGAGGUGGUGGAUAUGGGGGUGGAGGCAGAGGUGGUGGAUACAAUAGUGGUGGCAAUUAUAAUUCAGGAUACAACAGUGGGGGAAACUAUGGUGCCCCUCAAGGCGAGCAAGGUGGCUAUGGGGGUGAUGCUGGUUUCACAGGGGUUGGUGGUGGUGGAUACGAUGCUGCUCCUGCCAACAACUAUGGCGGCGAUAGCCUGAAUCAAGGGGGUGGAGCACCUCCUGCAUUUGGAGGUGGAAACUAUGGCGUAGGCAACGACAGCUACGCGGACGAUGCCCCUGUUGAUCUGCCCCCUGGUAAGCUCAAUGACCUGCUGAAGGAUCUCAAAUUUGAUGUUGGUGGCAAGGAGGAUGGUGCUGGGGAGGACGCCGGCUUGGUUGACGCGGACAUCAAGAGAAGCGAGGGACAGGAUGACUUUCUUGACGACGACUUCAGCAAGGAUGAAGAUGACUACGCCAACAAGAGAAGCUGA